GAUGAACGCUGGCGGCGUGCCUAAUACAUGCAAGUCGAGCGAACAGACGAGGAGCUUGCUCCUCUGACGUUAGCGGCGGACGGGUGAGUAACACGUGGAUAACCUACCUAUAAGACUGGGAUAACUUCGGGAAACCGGAGCUAAUACCGGAUAAUAUAUUGAACCGCAUGGUUCAAUAGUGAAAGACGGUUUUGCUGUCACUUAUAGAUGGAUCCGCGCCGCAUUAGCUAGUUGGUAAGGUAACGGCUUACCAAGGCGACGAUGCGUAGCCGACCUGAGAGGGUGAUCGGCCACACUGGAACGGAGACACGGUCCAGACUCCUACGGGAGGCAGCAGUAGGGAAUCUUCCGCAAUGGGCGAAAGCCUGACGGAGCAACGCUGCGUGAGUGAUGAAGGUCUUCGGAUCGUAAAACUCUGUUAUUAGGGAAGAACAAAUGUGUAAGUAACUAUGCACGUCUUGACGGUACCUAAUCAGAAAGCCACGGCUAACUACGUG
rnacentral:rRNA from 1 species